rnacentral:rRNA from 1 species
CUUGGUCAUUUAGAGGAAGUAAAAGUCGUAACAAGGUUUCCGUAGGUGAACCUGCGGAAGGAUCAUUAAUGAGUUAGGGUCUUCCAGGCCCGAUCUCCAACCCUUUGUAUAACUACCAUGUUGCUUUGGCGGGCCCGUCUUUAACAGGACCGCCGGGAGUUUUUGAACCCCUGGCCAGUGCUCGUCAAUAGCCCUUAACAAACUCUUUUAACCAUGUUAAAUCUGAAAAUAUUUAAAUAAACUAAAACUUUCAACAACGGAUCUCUUGGUUCUGGCAUCGAUGAAGAACGCAGCGAAAUGCGGUAAGUAAUGCGAAUUGCAGAAUUCAGUGAGUCAUCGAAUCUUUGAACGCACAUUGCGCCCUUUAGUAUUCUGAAGGGCAUGCCUGUUCGAGCGUCAUUAUCACUAUUCAAGCUCGGCUUGCUAUUGGACAUUUUGUCGUUAAAAGACAUGUUCUAAAGAUAAUGACGGUGUCUUUUGGACCCUAGAUGCAACGAGCUUUAACCAGCACGCAUUUUAGUUAAACCAUCAGACCCGGUCUUUCGUAACCAAUUUUUCAGGUUGACCUCGGAUCAGGUAGGAAUACCCGCUGAACUUAAGCAUAUCAAUAAGCGGAGGAAAGGGACA